UGGGGAAUUUUGCGCAAUGGGCGAAAGCCUGACGCAGCAACGCCGCGGGAGUGAUGAAGGCCUUCGGGUCGUAAAGCUCUGUCAGAGGGGUAGAACCACCUGUCGGUUAAUAUCCGGCAGGCCUGACGGUACCCUCAAAGGAAGGACCGGCUAACUCCGUGCCAGCAGCCGCGGUAAUACGGAGGGUGCAAGCGUUGUUCGGAAUUAUUGGGCGUAAAGGGCGCGUAGGCGGCUUGGCAAGUCAAAGGUGAAAUCCCUCGGCCCAACCGAGGAACUGCCUUUGAUACUGCUUGGCUUGAGGCCGGGAGAGGGUAGCGGAAUUCCCAGUGUAGCGGUGAAAUGCGUAGAUAUUGGGAGGAACACCAGUGGCGAAGGCGGCUACCUGGACCGGUUCUGACGCUGAGGCGCGAAAGCGUGGGGAGCAA
rnacentral:rRNA from 1 species